AGUUUUUUAUUUUUCAAUCGAUUACAAUCGCUAAAUCGUUAGGAAAUAGAUCGAAAUUUUAAAAAUAUUACAGAAAAGAUAUCCAUCCGUUCUCGGGUGAGUUUGUGUUGCAAUUUACGUGGGCGCUGUAUAAAUGUAUAACCUAUAGGCUAGCUUAUUGAUGAGUCAAGGUUUUUUUGUUGCUGUUUACUGGAAGAAAACUUACUGAUAGCUUAUCAUUUAUCAACAAGCCUUUGUACUUUAUUAACCCAGCUCGCCUUUGAAUUUGGUACGUAUAAAAAAAGAAGUGAGGUAUUCAAUCGAAAUUUUCGACCCAUUCAUUCAUAGUCUGAAUUUGUUCGAGACCGUAACAAAGGAGGAGUGGUAGCAACUAUAGUGACUGGAAGAGCAGCUGCCACAGUGACUGCCCCAGCACUCGCUGGACUCGCACCAGGGGCAGGACUUGCUACAGCAGUAAUAACUGGAGCAACCACAGCUACCUCCGCUGUUGCUGGAUCAGCUGGAAUUGGAGCUGCUGCUGGUGCUAUUACUGGAGCUGCUGCUGGUGGAACUGGGGCAGCAGCUGCUAUGGGUGCUGCUAUUGGAUCCGCGUCAGCUGCUGUAGUAUCAUCUACAGGUGCUGGAACCGCAGCACUUGUUGCAGGUGGUCCAGUCGGUUGGGUUCUCCUAGGAGGGGAACAAGACGCCAGCUCUCUUAAUGCCACAUUCGACUGCUGGAAACAGGUUUUACGAGACGAAUCGACCGAGCUUUCACGUGGGAAACUCCUAAAAGAGAUUUUCGAGGAUCAGCGCAUCAAACACGUCAUCGUUCAAGGGAGCAAAAACAAUUUCAACCUUCCUGAAUUAAGUCUGAUCAACAUUUGGGACGAGCAGUUCGACCUCAAUUACCUUGUUUUGCCCUCCAAUAAUCAACUGGUGGCUCACGCUGUUCGUGUCGCCUAAAUAUUCCUUUUUUAAGUUCCAUUCUAAAAGCAAUUCAGCCAACGAAUAAUUCGUUUAUUUUUUUUUUCAAUAGUAAUUUCUUUCUUUAUCACAACUUCUUUCAGUAGUAACAACAUGACUAUCUUAGUGAGUCAAAUAAUGGCAGCCGUUCAAAGCGCAUUUGCCGGAAGUGGUUUGAUGGCGGGUGUAACUACGGGAUUGGCAGUUGGUGUCUGCGUACAGCUGGCCAAGAAAGGUGCUGUGACGUCGCUGGCUGGUGUCUCCGGUGUAGCCGGUACCAGUGCGUCGGCUGGGGCGAUCUUUGGCUCCAUUGUCGGUGGUGACGUCGCCAGUGCAUUGGCUGGUGGUACAGCUGGAGCGUUUUCUAGCGCCAUCGUCGCUGUUCUCUGGUCGCUUUUCUAAAAGUCACUUUUUUACUUUACCCUGCUUCGUGUUUAAUUGGCAUUUCAUUAGUACCACAGCGGUUUGUAGUGCAUUAUUGUGAAUGGAAUAGAUUGAUUGUAAUGUUA